rnacentral:rRNA from 1 species
AUGCGUUAAGCUAACUGAUACUAAUUGCCCGUGCGGCUUGUUCCUAUAACAUUAGCUCUGUUAUAGACAAGUUGAGCAUAUAUUGUGUUUGCCCUUAGUGCAUCACACCCAAGAAUCGAUUAAAUACUUCUUCCAGUUUGGGUUAGUUGCUGCUCCAUCGAGAGCAACUGGCUUUACAAGUUAUGCCUGAUGACUAUAGCAAGUUGGUACCACCCCUUCCCAUCCCGAACAGGACCGUGAAACGACUUCGCGCCGAUGAUAGUGCUGCAACCAGUGUGAAAGUAGGUCAUCGUCAGGC